UGGGACAGACCCCUGCCUGAACCUUUUGGAUGCAGAGAAACAAUCGCUGCAUCCAUUAGGGUUUUUGAGCAGCCUUCUUUGCUCCUUAAACUGCAAGAGUAUUAUUAUACCUGAAUUGCCUUGGUUUCCUGAAAAAACACAUCCAGAUCAUUCAGAAGCUGAAGUGGCACCAGUAAUAUCCUCCAACCCUGUUCUGUGCAUCCAACAGCAGUUGAGGUCCAAGAAAGAGAAGGAAUCAGCAUGCCUUUCCUGGGUAGCAGGAAAUAAGUCACAACUCGGUUUUACUCCUACACCUGUGAUGAACAUGGCAAUAACUUUUUAUUAUCUUCUUUAUUUCAGAGAGGAGUCCUGUGCAAGUGUCAAUAAAAAUAAGAAAUAUAUCUAAAUCACAGAAAUAAUGUUUUUGAGCAGAUGCUCGUGGUAGGAAAAAGGGAGAAUCUGGAACAGAAAGUGAAGAGGCAAUGUUUAACGUCCUUGGCUUUCUAACAGCAUUUCUGGAUUCCUAGCACACAGCUUUGCCCAUCUUAUCUUAAUUUGGUUUUGUGCCUGAAUCCUUAAUGCUGACACAACCUCCCAAGUACUACACUGAGUCCCACUCACAGCAGCCCCAUGCCAAAGUGUUAUCCAACUCAGAGUUCCAAUAUACAUACCCCACAUUUCCCAUGAGGUCACUAUUUGUUGUACUAGUACAAGUACUGGAUAUUCCAUGAGAAUACAAACAAAUGUGGAAGAAAAAUAGAGUAAUAAUUUGCACUUUCUUCACUGUCAUCCUCUUGCUUUUCAUAUCAGACACCUUCGUAAAGAGAUGUCUGUGAUAAUGAUAUUUUACUUGGAGAAAAUUUUGCUAUUAAGAAGUUACUCUAAAGUAAGAUUUGAAACAGUAAUAGGUGUGAAAGAGCAAGUAGAAAACAAAAUGUAUCUGAAUGUAAGCAUAUUAUGGUUUUCUACUGGAACUUAAAUUAUGUGUUGAAUGCAGUAGCUUUGAAAGAUGUUCUUCCCAAC
rnacentral:lncRNA from 1 species